rnacentral:rRNA from 1 species
CCUACGGGUGGCAGCAGUGAGGAAUAUUGGUCAAUGGACGAAAGCCUGAACCAGCCAAGUCGCGUGCAGGAUGACGGCUCUAUGGUUUGUAAACUGCUUUUGUAUGAGGAUAAACUCAGGAACGUGUUUCUGUUUGUAUGUAUCAUAUGAAUAAGCAUCGGCUAACUCCGUGCCAGCAGCCGCGGUAAUACGGAGGAUUCAAGCGUUAUCCGGAUUUAUUGGGUUUAAAGGGUGCGUAGGUGGUUGAUUAAGUUAGCGGUGAAAUUAUGUGGCUCAACCAUAGAAUUGCCGCUGAUACUGUUCGACUAGAGAAUAUUUGCGGUAGGCGGAAUGUGUGGUGUAGCGGUGAAAUGCAUAGAUAUCAUGCAGAACACCGAUUGCGAAGGCAGCUUACCAAGCUACAACUGACACUGAGGCACGAAAGCGUGGGGAUCAAACAGGAUUAGAUACCCUUGUAGUC